UAUAAUGGGUCAGCGACUUAUAUUCUGUAGCAAGGUUAACCGAAUAGGGGAGCCGGAGGGAAACCGAGUCUUAACCGGGCGUUAAGUUGCAGGGUAUAGACCCGAAACCCGGUGAUCUAGCCAUGGGCAGGUUGAAGGUUGGGUAACACUAACUGGAGGACCGAACCGACUAAUGUUGAAAAAUUAGCGGAUGACCUGUGGCUGGGGGUGAAAGGCCAAUCAAACCGGGAGAUAGCUGGUUCUCCCCGAAAGCUAUUUAGGUAGCGCCUCGUGAAUUCAUCUCCGGGGGUAGAGCACUGUUUCGGCUAGGGGGCCAUCCCGGCUUACCAACCCGAUGCAAACUGCGAAUACCGGAGAAUGUUAUCACGGGAGACACACGGCGGGUGCUAACGUCCGUCGUGAAGAGGGAAACAACCCAGACCGCCAGCUAAGGUCCCAAAGUCAUGGUUAAGUGGGAAACGAUGUGGGAAGGCCCAGACAGCCAGGAUGUUGGCUUAGAAGCAGCCAUCAUUUAAAGAAAGCGUAAUAGCUCACUGGUCGAGUCGGCCUGCGCGGAAGAUGUAACGGGGCUAAACCAUGCACCGAAGCUGCGGCAGCGACACUGUGUGUUGUUGGGUAGGGGAGCGUUCUGUAAGCCUGUGAAGGUGUGUCGUGAGGCAUGCUGGAGGUAUCAGAAGUGCGAAUGCUGACAUAAGUAACGAUAAAGCGGGUGAAAAGCCCGCUCGCCGGAAGACCAAGGGUUCCUGUCCAACGUUAAUCGGGGCAGGGUGAGUCGACCCCUAAGGCGAGGCCGAAAGGCGUAGUCGAUGGGAAACGGGUUAAUAUUCCCGUACUUGGUGUUACUGCGAAGGGGGGACGGAGAAGGCUAUGUUGGCCGGGCGACGGUUGUCCCGGUUUAAGCGUGUAGGUGUGUGUUCCAGGUAAAUCCGGUUCACUUUAACACUGAGGCGUGACGACGAGGCACUACGGUGCUGAAGCAACAAAUGCCCUGCUUCCAGGAAAAGCCUCUAAGCAUCAGGUAACAUCAAAUCGUACCCCAAACCGACACAGGUGGUCAGGUAGAGAAUACCAAGGCGCUUGAGAGAACUCGGGUGAAGGAACUAGGCAAAAUGGUGCCGUAACUUCGGGAGAAGGCACGCUGACACGUAGGUGAAGUGAUUUACUCAUGGAGCUGAAGUCAGUCGAAGAUACCAGCUGGCUGCAACUGUUUAUUAAAAACACAGCACUGUGCAAACACGAAAGUGGACGUAUACGGUGUGACGCCUGCCCGGUGCCGGAAGGUUAAUUGAUGGGGUCAGCGCAAGCGAAGCUCCUGAUCGAAGCCCCGGUAAACGGCGGCCGUAACUAUAACGGUCCUAAGGUAGCGAAAUUCCUUGUCGGGUAAGUUCCGACCUGCACGAAUGGCGUAAUGAUGGCCAGGCUGUCUCCACCCGAGACUCAGUGAAAUUGAACUCGCUGUGAAGAUGCAGUGUACCCGCGGCAAGACGGAAAGACCCCGUGAACCUUUACUAUAGCUUGACACUGAACAUUGAGCCUUGAUGUGUAGGAUAGGUGGGAGGCUUUGAAGUGUGGACGCCAGUCUGCAUGGAGCCGACCUUGAAAUACCACCCUUUAAUGUUUGAUGUUCUAACGUGGACCCGUUACCCGGGUUGCGGACAGUGUCUGGUGGGUAGUUUGACUGGGGCGGUCUCCUCC
rnacentral:rRNA from 1 species